rnacentral:rRNA from 1 species
CCUACGGGGGGCAGCAGUGAGGAAUAUUGGUCAAUGGUCGGGAGACUGAACCAGCCAAGCCGCGUGAGGGAUGAAGGUACAGAGUAUCGUAAACCUCUUUUGUCAGGGAACAAAGGCGGGGACGUGUCCCCGGAUGAGUGUACCUGAAGAAAAAGCAUCGGCUAACUCCGUGCCAGCAGCCGCGGUAAUACGGAGGAUGCGAGCGUUAUCCGGAUUUAUUGGGUUUAAAGGGUGCGUAGGCGGAAUGCCAAGUCAGCGGUAAAAUCGCGGGGCUCAACCUCGCUCCGCCGUUGAAACUGGCGUUU